rnacentral:rRNA from 1 species
AAUGAACGCUGGCGGCAGGCUUAACACAUGCAAGUCGAACGGGUGUAGCAAUACAUCAGUGGCAGACGGGUGAGUAACACGUGGGAACCUUCCUAGGGGUACGGAACAACUCAGGGAAACUUGAGCUAAUACCGUAUACGUCCGUGAGGAGAAAGAUUUAUCGCCCUUAGACGGGCCCGCGUCGGAUUAGGUAGUUGGUGGGGUAACGGCCUACCAAGCCUACGAUCCGUAGCUGAUCUGAGAGGAUGAUCAGCCACACUGGGACUGAGACACGGCCCAGACUCUUACGGGAGGCAGCAGUGGGGAAUCUUGGACAAUGGGCGAAAGCCUGAUCCAGCCAUGCCGCGUGAGUGAAGAAGGCCUUAGGGUUGUAAAGCUCUUUUGCCAGGGACGAUAAUGACGGUACCUGGAGAAUAAGCCCCGGCAAACUUCGUGCCAGCCGCCGCGGUAAGAC